AGAGUUUGAUUAUGGCUCAGGAUGAACGCUAGCGAUAGGCCUAACACAUGCAAGUCGAGGGGCAGCACAUGAAGUAGCAAUACAGAUGGUGGCGACCGGCGCACGGGUGAGUAACGCGUAUGCAACCUGCCUACAACAGGGGAAUAACCCGUUGAAAGACGGACUAAUACCCCAUAACACAGGGAUCCCGCAUGGGAAUAUUUGUUAAAGAUUUAUCGGUUGUAGAUGGGCAUGCGUUCCAUUAGCUUGUUGGUGAGGUAACGGCUCACCAAAGCAACGAUGGAUAGGGGAACUGAGAGGUUUAUCCCCCACACUGGUACUGAGACACGGACCAGACUCCUACGGGAGGCAGCAGUGAGGAAUAUUGGUCAAUGGACGCAAGUCUGAACCAGCCACGUCGCGUGAAGGAAGACGGCCCUACGGGUUGUAAACUUCUUUUGUAAGGGAAUAAAGUGUAGUACGUGUACUAUUUUGCAUGUACCUUACGAAUAAGGAUCGGCUAACUCCGUGCCAGCAGCCGCGGUAAUACGGAGGAUCCGAGCGUUAUCCGGAUUUAUUGGGUUUAAAGGGUGCGCAGGCGGGAGAUUAAGUCGGCGGUGAAAUUUUGCAGCUCAACUGUAAAAGUGCCUUCGAAACUGGUUUCCUUGAGUGUGGAUGAAGUAGGCGGAAUUUGUGGUGUAGCGGUGAAAUGCAUAGAUAUCACGAGGAACUCCGAUUGCGCAGGCAGCUUACUAAACCAUAACUGACGCUCAUGCACGAAGGCGUGGGGAUCAAACAGGAUUAGAUACCCUGGUAGUC
rnacentral:rRNA from 1 species